AAUAUUGCACAAUGGGCGAAAGCCAGACGCAGCAACGCCGCGUGAGUGCAGAAGGCCUUCGCGUCGUAAAGCUCUUUGAUCUGGGAUGAUAAUAACAGUACCUGAAAAACAAGACACGCCUAACUACGUGCCAGCAGCCGCGGUAAUACGUAGGUGGCGAGCGUUGUCCGGAAUUACUUGGCGUAAAGGAUGCGUAGGUGGAUAUUUAAGUGGGAUGUGAAAUCCCCGGGCUCAACCCGGGAACUGCAUUCCAAACUGGGUAACUAGAGUGCAGGAGAGGAAAGCGGAAUUCCUAGUGUAGCGGUGAAAUGCGUAGAUAUUAGGAGGAACACCAGUGGCGAAGGCGGCUUUCUGGACUGUAACUGACACUGAGGCAUGAAAGCGUGGGUAGCAAACAGG
rnacentral:rRNA from 1 species